AUUGAACGCUGGCGGCAUGCUUUACACAUGCAAGUCGAACGGUAACAGCACUUCGGUGGCUGACGAGUGGCGAACGGGUGAGUAAUACAUCGGAACGUGCCUAGUAGUGGGGGAUAACUACUCGAAAGAGUAGCUAAUACCGCAUGAGAUCUAAGGAUGAAAGCAGGGGACCUUCGGGCCUUGCGCUACUAGAGCGGCUGAUGGCAGAUUAGGUAGUUGGUGGGAUAAAAGCUUACCAAGCCGACGAUCUGUAGCUGGUCUGAGAGGACGACCAGCCACACUGGGACUGAGACACGGCCCAGACUCCUACGGGAGGCAGCAGUGGGGAAAUUUGGACAAUGGGCGCAAGCCUGAUCCAGCAAUGCCGCGUGCAGGAUGAAGGCCUUCGGGUUGUAAACUGCUUUUGUACGGAACGAAAAGCCCUCUUCUAAUACAGGAGGGUCAUGACGGUACCGUAAGAAUAAGCACCGGCUAACUACGUG
rnacentral:rRNA from 1 species